rnacentral:lncRNA from 1 species
CCUAAGCCUGACCUCUGAGGGGCCUUGCAGGGAACCCAGCAGCCAGGUGGACUUUUCCAGCUCUGGAUGAAUGUGAACAGGGCCAUGCCUGGGGCCGAGUCAUCGCUUGCUCACCGACCUUCGGGAUCCUCCACCUGAGGGCCAGAAUGCUCUCCGGUGCUCGAGCCCUGUUAGGCCACCUGGUUCCACACUACAAAGACGCAGAGGACAACCGACCACCAGGCCACGGUACUGAGUCCCGCUGCUCCCGGCACAGAGAAUGAAAACAAGACCUCGCUGCCUCUGCAUUCGAGCUAGCGUGCUAGCUGCCAGCUGGCUGCAGCCUGAUUCCUGCUGAAAGAAGGGGUUAGCCAAAGAGGGGAGACAAGCAUCGCUGGAAACCUUCUCCUUGGUGCAAUCUGAAGGCUCGACAGAGCUGGGAAAGAAACAGCUCCUCGUGUCCUGCUCCUGUUCACUGUCACUUAGAGGACUCGGCUCUCACAUAGGAGACCCUCGGCCUCCUGCAAGUAUGCCAAGUGCCACCCAUCGUGAGUCCGACACUUUGGAAACACAACUGUGGGGUGUGGACACAAGGAG